GCAGGGAUAGUUUAUUUGGUAGAGCAUGAGACUCUUAAUCUCAAGGUCAAGGGUUCAAGCCCCACAUUGGGCA